UUUCACAGUCGAGGUAAAGUUUAUAACC
rnacentral:piRNA from 1 species